rnacentral:rRNA from 1 species
UACGUAGGGGGCAAGCGUUGUCCGGAUUUAUUGGGCGUAAAGAGCGUGUAGGCGGUCAGGUAGGUCCGUUGUGAAAACUCGAGGCUCAACCUCGAGACGCCGAUGGAAACCAUCUGACUAGAGUCCGGAAGAGGAGAGUGGAAUUCCCGGUGUAGCGGUGAAAUGCGUAGAGAUCGGGAGGAACACCAGUGGCGAAGGCGGCCUUCUGGACCAGCACUGACACUCAAGCACGAAAGCGUGGGGAGCAAACAGGG